rnacentral:lncRNA from 1 species
UUUCUUCUUAUAUUUUCUUUCACCAAAUACUACUUGAUAUAUAUCUUUUUGGAGCAGAAAUCCUUUUUUCUGUCGGUGAAGAUCCCUUUUACAUGCGUACAUGUAUUCUGUGUUUGAGUGACACGUUAUGUUGUGUCAUGGGUUAAUAGUAGUGGUAAGAACUAUGUCGCUUCUCGUAGAAUGCAGGAUUGGAUUUAUAGUAAUAUAAUGUGCUGGCAAAGCUCAAGGAGCUUAUAAGAAAUUUAGCAAAAAAUAUAGUAGUGCUAAUACUUGACCUUAGGAGCUUGAUAAUAUUUUUCACAAUACAAGUUGUCCAAAAACAACUGUUUUAUAACUACUAGGGCAGAAUACAGGGAAUUUGUAUGAACGGGAUAGGAGGUACCUGUUNACAUUUGAUUGUCAAGUCUUGUAUAUCUUUGCAUUCCACACAGUGUGGCAUCCAGAAAGCCAGAAACAUUAUGUAACAGUCAAAGCUACUCUGCUACAACUUUAUAUUGAAAACUACACAGAAAGUUUUCAGUAACACUUCUAAUAGACUGAACUCAGAUGCAGCAAUCCAAAGAAAAAACAAAGUUGGUGGGGUCAAAAUAUAUCUAUGGGACAGGGCAAAAUAUAUUCGGGUUCCAUGGUGAAAUUGUGUUGCUCUGCAGGGAUCAUGUGAAAAAUUGCUGCUGUGAUCGUUGAGUCAAUAAUGAGAUUAUUAAUUUAAUAGUUCCACUUUUCACGAUGAAAACUAGACUGGCGGGCCAGGGGGAGGGAGAGGGGGACAUACCUCAUAAUGGUUGUACUGGAAAUAGAAAGUAAGGUAAAGUGAACAUACUUUUGCCCCAUUGCUGGGUUUUAUUCCAGACCUGUGCACGAGUGAUUGAGGAGUUUCUGUGCCAAUCCCAUACUAAAUAAGUUUAUGGUCUCUUUUGUAACUUGGAUUUCAUAUUAAAUUCUGAAUUUGAUCAAAUAACAUGUUUGGAUAAACAAAAUAAUUCGAUUUGGGAUUUCAUUUGAAAUUCAAAACAUUCAAAUAAUAGUACGAAGUUGAAAAUAUAAAAUGACAACUGAAACUAUGUCAAUUCAAAUCCAACUUUUGAAAUAAAUAACAUUUUCCCAACCACAAUCUGAAGCAAAUUGAAAUGAAACUAAAAAAUUUAUACUCAAUUAAUUAUAGUGGGUCAAAUAGUUUUCAUUUGUUUCUGAAUUGAUUAAUGUACUGCUUUUCAGGAGUGCAUUGACAUUGAUUUGGUGUGGGCAUGCAGCUUCCAUGGAGAAUAGGAUAUCAUGUCACAGCAGUGGGAGCAUCUCAUCUGUUGAAAAACUCACUUCGGACACAACUAUUGAGGUUUUUUUAAAUUUGCUAGCUUUUUGCGCACUACUCUUUUAACUGUAUCAGCCAACUUGCUUAAAGAAUUUCCUGUUCUUUAGGUAAAUAUUGAGAUUCCUUUUGCAUUUCGAGCAAUUCCAGUACAAGCCAUUGAAUCUUCUGGCGCACAGGUUCUUGAACAGAUACUAAAAAUUAUGCUCCCUCGUUUCAUGGCACAGGUACUUGAAUAAGUAAUUAGUUUCUUCUUAUAUUUUCUUUCACCAAAUACUACUUGAUAUAUAUCUUUUUGGAGCAGAAAUCCUUUUUUCUGUCGGUGAAGAUCCCUUUUACAUGCGUACAUGUAUUCUGUGUUUGAGUGACACGUUAUGUUGUGUCAUGGGUUAAUAGUAGUGGUAAGAACUAUGUCGCUUCUCGUAGAAUGCAGGAUUGGAUUUAUAGUAAUAUAAUGUGCUGGCAAAGCUCAAGGAGCUUAUAAGAAAUUUAGCAAAAAAUAUAGUAGUGCUAAUACUUGACCUUAGGAGCUUGAUAAUAUUUUUCACAAUACAAGUUGUCCAAAAACAACUGUUUUAUAACUACUAGGGCAGAAUACAGGGAAUUUGUAUGAACGGGAUAGGAGGUACCUGUUGGCAUUUAGUUUAAUCUCAAAAAACCAUAAAAUGCCUCUCUGUUUUGUUUAGACUGCAUGACGAUUAAAUUGAUACUAAAUUUUGACUUUUGAACAACAUACUUUGACCGAUGCAUGUCCUUGAUGCUUUUUUCUUUAUCACAUUAUAUGUUGUUUCUUGGUGCAUGAAUGUAGGAUAAGUUUAUGCAACUUGUAGGUAUUAAAAACCAUUAAAAAUAAUAACAAAUAAAAUAUAGUUACUGUACUAAGCCACUAACAAUCAAUCUCUAUUCACCUUGUUUUUUUCCCUAAGCUAGAUUUAUAAUUUGGAUUACAGGGAGUAGACUAAGAGGUUAUGUAUUUUUUUUUGCUAAACAAGUUCAUUAAAACCAAUGUUCUGAAAGAUCAAAAAAGUAUGACAUGAAAGACAGAACAACCCUUAUUAAGUUCAUACUAAGUAGAUGAAAUCAAGUAAAGUUUUGGAAUACACAAAGUACACAGAAGUGGAGUAUACAUGGAACGUGCACGUGCAACAUCUCCUGCAAUUAGUGGUGGCCAAACGAGC